rnacentral:rRNA from 1 species
AUGUCAGAUAUUGUACACAAUCAUACUGAACAUGUAGAGAAAAAGAGAAGACCGUUGCGUGCGAAUAUAAUGUCAUGCAGACGCCGCUCCAUGGUGGGCGAAGUGCCCCCUCCUGCAUUUGCAGAUUGUAUUCCAAAGGAAGAUAACUAUUUAGAUGGAGAUUCAGAAGGAGCCGACCACGCCUGUUUACCACCUGAGGUGUUUUCUCUAACCUGGCAUGCUGAUGUUGGUCAUAUCAUGCAUAUGGCACCUUGCAUUGCUUACAUUAUACAUCUUAUACGUCAUCAGCUUAGUUUAGAUUUGCUUUGUGUGAAUGCCACCUGUUUGGUUUCUAUAUCAUACUCCCACCAUUCCUAA